rnacentral:rRNA from 1 species
CACGUAGGGUGCGAGCGUUGUCCGGAAUUAUUGGGCGUAAAGAGCUCGUAGGCGGUCCGUCACGUCGGGCGUGAAAUUCCAGGGCUCAACCCUGGACCUGCGUUCGAUACGGGCGGACUAGAGUUCGGUAGGGGCAGAUGGAAUUCCGGGUGUAGCGGUGGAAUGCGUAGAGAUCCGGAAGAACACCGGUGGCGAAGGCGGUCUGCUGGGCAGUAGCUGACACUGAGGCGCGACAGCGUGGGGAGCAAACAGG